rnacentral:rRNA from 13 species
UGCCAGCAGCCGCGGUAAUACGAAAGGGGCUAGCGUUGUUCGGAUUUACUGGGCGUAAAGGGCACGCAGGCGGUCUUGCCAGUCAGGGGUGAAAGCCCGAGGCUCAACCUCGGAACUGCCUCUGAUACUGUAAGACUUGAGACUAGGAGAGGGUGGUGGAAUUCCCAGUGUAGAGGUGAAAUUCGUAGAUAUUGGGAAGAACACCAGUGGCGAAGGCGGCUACCUGGUCCGGAUCUGACGCUGAGGCGCGAAAGCGUGGGGAGCAAACAGG